UACGAAGGGGGCUAGCGUUGUUCGGAUUUACUGGGCGUAAAGCGCGCGCAGGCGGCUUUGCAAGUCAGGGGUGAAAUCCCAGAGCUCCCCUCUGGAAUUGCCUUUGAGACUGUGAGGCUUCGAGUACGGGAGAGGUGAGUGGAAUUCCCAGUGUAGAGGUGAAAGGCGGAGAGAGUGGGAAGAACACCGGUGGCGAAGGCGGCUCACUGGCCCGUUACUGACGCUCAGGCGCGACAGCGUGGGGAGCAAACAGG
rnacentral:rRNA from 1 species